rnacentral:rRNA from 1 species
AUCAACUUUCGAUGGUAGGAUAGAGGCCUACCAUGGUGGUAACGGGUAACGGGGUGUUAGGGCACGACACCGGAGAGGGAGCCUGAGAAACGGCUACCACAUCCAAGGAUGGCAGCAGGCGCGCAAAUUACCCAAUCCCGACACGGGGAGGUAGUGACAAUAAAUAACAAUACGGGGUUCUUUCGGAUCUCGUAAUUGGAAUGAGUACAAUUUAAAUCUCUUAACGAGGAACAAUUGGAGGGCAAGUCUGGUGCCAGCAGCCGCGGUAAUUCCAGCUCCAAUAGCGUAUAUUAAAGUUGUUGCAGUUAAAAAGCUCGUAGUUGAAUUUCGGGACCAAUUUGUUGGUCGUGCCUCGGUACGUACUGGUAUUAUUGGUUUCUACCUUCUGAAGAACCUUGAUGUCAUUGAUUUGGUGUCUUGGGGAAUCAGGACUGUUACUUUGAAAAAAUUAGAGUGUUUAAAGCAAGCAUACGCUUGAAUACAUUAGCAUGGAAUAAUGAAAUAGGACGUUUGAUUCUAUUUUGUUGGUUUCUAGGAUCGACGUAAUGAUUAAUAGGGAUAGUUGGGGGCAUUAGUAUUCAAUUGUCAGAGGUGAAAUUCUUGGAUUUAUUGAAGACUAACUACUGCGAAAGCAUUUGCCAAGGAUGUUUUCAUUAAUCAAAAACGAAAGUUAGGGGAUCGAAGACGAUCAGAUACCGUCGUAGUCUUAACCAUAAACUAUGCCGACUAGGGAUCGGAUGAUGUUAAUUUUUUAAUGACUCAUUCGGCGCCUUACGGGAAACCAAAGUGUUUGGGUUC